rnacentral:ncRNA from 1 species
GACUUACACAUGCAAGUCCCCGCACUCCAGUGAGAACGCCCUUUAACCCUUUUAUAGGCUAAGGAGCCGGAAUCAGGCACUCUAUUUGCCCAUAACACCUAGUCUCACCACACCCCCAAGGGUACUCAGCAGUGAUUAAUCUUGUUUAUAAGCGACAGCUUGAUUCAGUUAGAGGAAAGAGAGCCGGCCAAUCUGGUGCCAGCCGCCGCGGCUAAACCACAGGGCUCAAAUUAAUAAUUACCGGCGUUAAGCGUGAUUAAAGUUUUGCAAACUAGAAAUAAAUUAAAAAUCUUAGUAGUUAUAAGCUUGUUUUUAAGAAAACCAAAAUCGAAAGUUAUUCUAGUGAAUAUGCUUGAAUACACGACAGUUGGGAAAACAAACUGGGAUUUGAUACCCCACUAUGCCCAACCGUAAAAAAUUAAUUUACAACAACCAGCGCCAGGGAAUUACGAGCAAUGCUUAAAACCCAAAGGACUUGACGGUGUUCCACCCACCUAGAGGAGCCUGUUUUGUAAUCGAUGAUCCCCGCUACACCCCACCAUUUCUAGCUAUUCAGCCUGUAUACCUCCGUCGAAAGCCUACCAUGUGAACGUAUUUCAGUAGGCCUAAUGACCCCCGUCAAUAUGUCAGGUCAAGGUGCAGCUCACGAAAUGGAAGCUAAUGGGCUACAAUUUCUAAUUUAGAACAAACGAAAUACUAUGUGAAAUCAUAGUCAUGAAGGCGGAUUUAGUAGUAAAAAGAAAAUAGAGUGUUCUUUUUAACCUGGCUCUGGGACGUGUACAAACCGCCCGUCACCCUCUUCGAUAAAAUUCUCC